CACAAACAGUUAUUUCACCAAAGAAGAACUAUUAAUGGAAAAUAAAGACACGAAAAUAUACUCGACAACAGUUAUUAGGGAAAUGCAAAAUAAAACCACAACAAGAUACCACUUGUCAACAAAUAAUAGACUAAUGCUACUAUUUGUCAACAAAUAGUAGACGAAUACUCUAAUGCUAUGUCAUAAUGCCUAAGAUAUUCACCUCACUUUUUCUUGUCACAUAGGAAUUCUGUCAUCUUACAUGAUCACAUGAAGGAAAAGAAGGGUGAGUACAGUAUAAUACAAUAUUUUAAGGUGGAAAAGGAGAGAUAUAUAGAGACCAUAUUAACAUAACUUUUAUUAUAGUAUAUUGUUCUAUUUUUAUUAUUAGUUAUUGUUAUUAAUCUCUUACUGUGCCUAAUUUAUAAAUUACUUUUUGUCAUAGAUGUGUAUUUAUAGGAAAACACAUAGUGUAUAUAGGGUUUGGUACUGUCCAUGGUUUUAGGCAUCCGCUGGUGGUCUUGGAAUGCAUCUCCAUGGAUACAGGGGGACUACUGUACACAAAUGUUUAUAGCAGCUUUAUGCAUAGUUUCCAGAACUCCUUUCUGCUCCUUCCCCAUAAGUAAAGGGAUUUAUUCUUUUAUCCAUCCCGGCCUCCCAGCUACAAUGGCUUUUUACCUUAAGGCAGAUUGGGCAGGGCACAACUUCUGGAGCUGCCCUGCAUGGCUGUGCAGAGGUCCCUGAAAGGUCACCUGCUGUGUGUCUUCCAGCGUCCCUGUAAGAGAGUAGACAGAGAAGUCAUGCAUCACCUUGCACUGUCCCCUUUCCUUCCCUGACUCGCUCCUCUUCAUGCUUUCUCCAGCCUGGGAUUUUAUUUCUCAAAUAAAGACAAACCUUAAUCUUAAUCCUCACCUCAGCCUUUGUUUUCCAGGAAAUCUGGACUAAAACACUGACCAGUUUUAAAAAAUGGUAACAUGUUUAUACUCUUUUCCUAUCUUUCUGCUCAAAAUUUACAUGGUACUUUGGGGAUCUGCCUGCCUAUGCGACUCCAUAUGCAACUUUUUUUUUUUUUUUUUUUGAGAUGGAGUCUUGCUCUGUUGCCCAGGCUGGAGUGCAGUGGUGAGAUCUCGGCUCACUGAAAGCUCCACCUCCCGGGUUCACUCCAUUCUCCUGCCUCAGCCUCCCGAGUAGCUGGGACUACAGGCGCCCACCACCAUGCCCUGCUAAUUUUUUGUAUUUUUAGUAGAGACGGGG
rnacentral:lncRNA from 1 species